AUUUAGUAACUCAUUUUUAAUUUUUAUUACUUUAGCUUUGCCUUGUACGCAAAAUUAGCAACUUUUUUUUAAAUAAAUAAGUUUUUAAAUACUUUGUAUAGUUUACAAUGCAAAAAAAUAUUUUAAUUUAGCAAAAACCAAACAUGUUUUUUAACCUAUACACUUUUAUGUUUAUUGCUUGUUAGCAUUACACUUGAAAAUUCCUUUAUUUUUGAAAAAUUUUAUGAAAUAUAUUUUAUUUAUACGCACAUAUAUUUAUAUGUAUUUUUUUGUAUGUAUUGUUUGCCAGUUAUUCUACGCAGCUUUCAAAUCAGAAACACUUUUUGCUUUUCCUUGAGUUAAUUUCACAUCUUCUUUAUUUCAUUGCGUCAUUAAAGUAACUUUUUUUUCGUCAGUCCCUUCAUUUAUUAACCUUUCUGUUUUCUUAGUUUUGUUAUUAUUAACAGUUAUUGUAUUUUAUCACAUUUAACAGAAAAUUGAGCAAAGCUACCGAGAAACCACAAAAUCUUAUUUCGGCAACGCUAAUCAGACGUUAUCGGUCGUAGAGUGUGUUUUUGUAGUGCAAUGUCUAUGGUCAUUGGGACCGUUUGACCGUUAAAUAAGUGGGAGAAAUACUGCUCCUGCAUACACACACACAGGCAUACAUAUAUAUGUACAUAUAAGCGGGUAAAGCUGCUGUCAUUUAUAAGCUUUGAGCGCAUUACGACUAAAUAUGUGUACAGAAGUGGUAAUAGCCUAAUGCUAAUGAAAAAUUUUGCCACCUACUAUGGUAUUGUAUAUAGCAUAUGCUGUACUAAAUAGUAUCAUUCUUACACAUACAUAUAUAUAUAUAUAUAUAUAUAUUAUAUUAUAUAUGGUGGUGUUUGUGGCAAGUGCAUGUUUAUCUCAAUGGAUGUUCUGAGGUUGCUGUUUAUGUCCUUGGAGUAUGAUUCAACGCACAUGUGUAGCCACUUAUUAGCUUGUUUGCGUUUAUAUGCUUGCAUUUCGCAAAUUUGUACACGGUAUAUUUGUAGCUGCUUGUAGCAUAUACAUAUAUGUGGCUCACAAGUCCAAGGCAGACAGGCGUGAAUUUGUCAACGCAACCGAAAGAGCAUCAGUACAUGAGGAACUAAAGCGAUGCAACGUGUUAACACACAUACAUGCUUAUAUAUGGAGAUGUUCCUAGAUGAUCCAGCAGCCAGUUAUGAGCGACACUGCAAUUCAACUUUUUCGAGAUGCUCUUAAGUAAUUGCUGCCAUUUCCGUUUUUUUAAAUAUUUCUCCAUGAAAAUUUAACAAAAUAUUCUUCAAAUGUCACACUAUAAUUUACCAUUGGUCUUGAAAAAAAACUAAACUGUAUCAUAAAAAAAAUCAGAAAAAUUGGCCUUUUCUCACGAACUAGUACUACCUAAAAUAUGCGUGAUUCAACUCUAAGCGCAAAAAAGUAUGCAAUAACUUAGAUUAACACAGCCAUAAAAUAAUAAAAAUAAGUGAUUAACAUUAUGUCAACGAAAGUUUUUCCAAACUACUUCUUAAGCCAAAACGAACAAAAGUAAUAUUCAAUAAAUGUAAUACAGGCAGCAUAAAUCAAGCUUAAUCUAACUAAGUGCAGUUGCAAUUGCAACUUUAAGGAGACUUGUGCGAAGCGAUUAACUAUUUCCAUAUUAAAUGCAGCAUUUCUUUAGUGCCACCUUUUUUAUAUUAUAUAAUUUUACCGAGAAAUGUAAGAACUUGUUUACCACACUUACUUUUCAUCG